rnacentral:guide_RNA from 1 species
AUAUACAACAAUAUAGAACGAUGAAAGUGAAGAUUAUAGAGUUA